UUUCUCUCCUCGGCUCGGCGCCGCCUCCGGCAAGAUUGGCGCUGCUCCGCAUCGCCGGAGCUCGCCCCCUUCUCUUUCUCCAUUCCUCUUUUCUUCCGAUCCUCCAAUUUAGCUCUUGACUCCUAAUUGAAGAUUCAAAAUUAUAGUUUAGGGGAAAUGUCUAUGGCGGCUCCUCUCCUAAUUCGCCGCCGCCGCUGUUCCAAGCUCGCGGCUGCUCCUCCUCGGCGGCCUUGACUCCGUCGGUUCUCCAUUCGGUGAAGUCCCGGUUAGGGAGAAGGCGUCGCCUCUCCCUCCGUCGGCUUCUCUCUCUCGCUCGGUGGCCUCACCGCACCGCCGCCGACGUCGCUCGCCGUCGGCCUCGGCAAGGAUGCCGCCGUCUGCCUCGCCCCUGCUGCCGCCGUGAUCCGCAGCUUCUCCGCGGAAGUUCUUCGGCUCCGUCGACACUCGCCGUCGCCCGGUCGCCCCUCCGCCUAAGCUAAGUCCUCUCCCCCUACCCCUUACUCCUUUUUCGAGUUAUGGCAGUAGCUUAUUUUUGGAAAAAAAGUUCUCCAUUGGAGUCUUGUGUGGCUUAUGGUGAUAUAUUGCUCAAUUUCAAGAUCUUGCUAUAUUUUUGCUUAUGAUACUAUGCCACUGAAUUCAUAGGGAGGGGGUAUCAUGCGGCUAUCUCUAAUUUGCAUAGCUCUAAGCUCUUGAGCUUCAACUUAGUGUUACAUGAUUGCUAUUGUUUUCAUCCUUGCUGUGAGGAUCCUAUGAAAAUUCUAAGUUCUUGUGCUAUCUAUUGUUGUCCUACAUGAUGCGAAGAUUAUUGGUGUUGAGGUUGUUUACCUCGCUUGGUGAUUUCGGUUCGGUGGUGGCGGUCUCUCGCCUUCGCCGCCGCUUCCUCUCCUCUCCGUCGCCCCGCGCUUAGUGUCGUGAGUGGGGUGGCGGAGGUGAAGGGGAAGGUGGCUCUUAUAUGGUGCUAAUCUAUUGGAAGCUAGGUUUGAGACUUGGAGCCAAAGGCUCCUAUUUUGGGCUUGUUAGCUCUCUCACUUUCGAGCUUGAUGAUUGUGAGAUUCUUGCCGUUUUGGUGAUGGUGGCUGAUCUUCUUGGCUGAUUUCUCGGCCUUGAUCGACGGGGAGAUGAGAGUUUGUCUCAUCUUCUACUUUUGGGCUUGUGUACAUGGAGGCAUUCUUGGAGCUUGUGGAGGGAAGCAAAAUCGAGAUUAAGAAAGAGAGGGAAAGAAAGGAGAUGCUCCUCUUGAGCUCAUUUGGUUCUAUUCCCAAUUUAGUUUGCUUCCAAACUUGAGAAUUAAAGAAGUAGGAUAGAUAGCGUAGAAUAGGUGCAUGUUGAUUUUUAUCACACUUGCAGGCAUGUACUAUUUCCAUCAUCCAUGUAUUUCUAUUUCUUCACAGUGUAUCCACAUUUCUCUAAUAAAAGUAUUUUCUCCA